UACGUAGGGUCCAAGCGUUAAUCGGAAUUACUGGGCGUAAAGCGUGCGCAGGCGGUUCGUUGUGUCUGUCGUGAAAGCCCCGGGCUCAACCUGGGAAUGGCGAUGGAAACUGGCGAGCUGGAGUGUGGCAGAGGGGGGUGGAAUUCCGCGUGUAGCAGUGAAAUGCGUAGAGAUGCGGAGGAACACCGAUGGCGAAGGCAGCCCCCUGGGCUGACACUGACGCUCAGGCACGAAAGCGUGGGGAGCAAACAGG
rnacentral:rRNA from 1 species